GACGAACGCUGGCGGCGUGCUUAACACAUGCAAGUCGAACGGAAAGGCCCUGCUUUUGUGGGGUGCUCGAGUGGCGAACGGGUGAGUAACACGUGAGUAACCUGCCCUUGACUUUGGGAUAACUUCAGGAAACUGGGGCUAAUACCGGAUAGGAGCUCCUGCUGCAUGGUGGGGGUUGGAAAGUUUCGGCGGUUGGGGAUGGACUCGCGGCUUAUCAGCUUGUUGGUGGGGUAGUGGCUUACCAAGGCUUUGACGGGUAGCCGGCCUGAGAGGGUGACCGGCCACAGUGGGACUGAGAUACGGCCGAGACUCCUACGGGAGGCAGCAGUGGGGAAUAUGGCACAAUGGGCGGAAGCCUGAUGCAGCAACGCCGCGUGCGGGAUGACGGCCUUCGGGUUGUAAACCGCUUUCGCCUGUGACGAAGCGUGAGUGACGGUAAUGGGUAAAGAAGCACCGGCUAACUACGUG
rnacentral:rRNA from 1 species